ensembl:lncRNA novel transcript
GCUCUUGCAGUGUUCUCCCCGCAGGUGCUGCAUGGAGUGAGUGGCGGCAUCCACCGUGAGGAGGAGAGGAGCUCUGAUACCCUCAGGACCCGCCAGGAGGGGCAUCACGGAGGCUUCUGGACGACUUGGAGCUGUGUCCUGGGGAGAAAACCGCUCCUGUCUGGGCCCUGAGUGCUGAGGAGGAAGCUGCCAUGCACUUUUCCCUGGCAUUUUUCCUGCAUGGAGAGAGAGGUCCAAGGUGCCCUACAUCGUGCGUCAGUGCGUGGAGGAGAUCGAGCGCCGAGGCAUGGAGGAGAUAACAAGGACGUGUCAGUGAUGAUGAGCGAGAUGGACGUGAACGCCAUCGCAGGCAUGCUGAAGCUGUACUUCCGUGAGCUGCCCGAGCCCCUCUUCACUGACGAGUUCUACCCCAACUUCGCAGAGGGCAUCGGAUGGCAGAGAAGGAGGCAGUCAAUAAGAUGUCCCUGCACAACCUUGGCACGGUGUUUGGCCCCACGCUGCUCCGGCCCUCCGAGAAGGAGAGCAAGCUCCCUGCCAACCCCAGCCAGCCCAUCACCAUGACUGACAGCUGGUCCUUGGAGGUCAUGUCCCAGAUCCAGAUACCUAAUAAGAUGCUGGAAUGUAAUCCCUGGACAAUCCGUGUCCUGGCAGCAUUUGGUCUUCCUCUAAGCGCCUGGCUCCGCUGUUCUCAGGAGUGGGUUCUGAAGUCUCUGGAGAACAGGAUACGUGGAGGGUUAGGAAGGGGCCAGGCCUAGAGACGGGAGACUCCCUCCCGGAGCAGGUGGAGGCACAGGACCAUUCGCUACCCCAUCUGCCGGCACCUGCGGGGGAGCCCAGGCAUUGUUUGUAAACCCUCCUGACUACCUGACUCAAAGAAAACAGAAGCAUGGAGGCCGCCAAGUAUUUUCAAGAAAUAAUCCCAUGAACGUGGCAUCACUUUUUUAGAAAGAGGGGCUUGGGGCAGGCAGAGGAGAGAAGGGAGAGCAAACUGAGAGCCAAGUUUCCAGACGGUCCUGCAGGAGGAGAGGAUGCAGCUGCGCAGAGGGAAGCAGGAUCACAUUUAAGGAAGUGUGUGGGGUCCCUGGAUGACACCAGCACCCAGUACGGCUCUGUCUGGCAACCGCUCCCAAGGUGGCAGGAGUGGGUGUCCCCUGUGUGUCAGUGGGCAGCUCCUGCUGAGCCCGCAGCUCACUGGGGAGCCUGACAGCGGGGCCAUGUGCCUGACACUCCUCUCUGCUUGUGGACCUGGCAAGGCAGGGAGCAGAAAACAGAGCCACUUGAAGGCUUUCUGUCUGCGUCUGUGUGCAGUGUGGAUUUAGUUGUGCUUUUUUCUUGCUGGGAGAGCACAGCCACCAUUUACAAGCAGUGUCACCCUCGUGGGUGGCGAGGACAGAACAGGAGCCUCUGCUCUCUGUACCUAUCUGGGCCCGGUGGGCUCCCUUGUCCUGGCUUCCAUCUCUGUCUCAGCAACCAUUCAGCCCUGCGCAGGAACACGUGUUGCUUAGAAAAGCCAAAUCCAGCCUUGUCUCUGCCUCCUCUGGUCUCAUGAUGUGCAUCUGUUACCUUGAAACUGGAAACCAGUCUA